rnacentral:rRNA from 1 species
UAUUCCGGUAAGCUUGCUACUGGUCGGGGGUUGCUGUAAGCCCGCAUAGUUUAAUUACUGAUGAGCGGCAGGCACUCUGUCUGGACCCUUGUCUUUUGCGCACUCUUGUUUCCUCGGCGGGCUUGCCCGCCGAUUGGACAAAACUAUAACCUUUUUAAUUUUCAAUCAGCGUCUGAAAAAACUUAAUAAUUACAACUUUCAACAACGGAUCUCUUGGUUCUGGCAUCGAUGAAGAACGCAGCGAAAUGCGAUAAGUAGUGUGAAUUGCAGAAUUCAGUGAAUCAUCGAAUCUUUGAACGCACAUUGCGCCCCUUGGUAUUCCAUGGGGCAUGCCUGUUCGAGCGUCAUUUGUACCCUCAAGCUUUGCUUGGUGUUGGGUGUUUGUCCUCUCCUCUGCGUUUGGACUCGCCUUAAAGCAAUUGGCAGCCAGUGUUUUGGUAUUGAAGCGCAGCACAUUUUGCGAUUCUAGCCUAUAAUACUUGCGUCCAUAAGCCUUUUUUAACUUUUGACCUCGGAUCAGGUAGGGAUACCCGCUGAACUUAAGCAUAUCAAUAAGCGGAGGAA